UACGUAGGGUGCGAGCGUUAAUCGGAAUUACUGGGCGUAAAGUGUGCGCAGGCGGCCGCGCAAGUCGAGUGUGAAAGCCCCGGGCUUAACUUGGGAAUUGCGCUCGAAACUACGUGGCUGGAGUGUGGCAGAGGAAGGUGGAAUUCCAGGUGUAGCGGUGGAAUGCGCAGAUAUCAGGAAGAACACCCGUGGCGAAGGCGGCUCUCUGGAACGCAACUGACGCUGAGACGCGAAAGCGUGGGGAGCAAACAGG
rnacentral:rRNA from 1 species